GUAGGGAAUCUUCCGCAAUGGGCGAAAGCCUGACGGAGCAACGCCGCGUGAGUGAUGAAGGUUUUCGGAUCGUAAAGCUCUGUUGCCAGGGAAGAACGUUCUCUAGAGUAACUGCUAGAGAAGUGACGGUACCUGAGAAGAAAGCCCCGGCUAACUACGUGCCAGCAGCCGCGGUAAUACGUAGGGGGCAAGCGUUGUCCGGAAUUAUUGGGCGUAAAGC
rnacentral:rRNA from 1 species